rnacentral:rRNA from 1 species
UGCGGUAUUUUAACUGUACUAAGGUAGCAUAAUAAUUUGCCUUAUAAUUUGAGGCUAGAAUGAAUGGUUUGACGAAGGUUAAUCUGUCUCUAUUUUAUUUUUUAGAAAUUAAUUUUUAGAGUGAAAAAGCUUGUAUUUUUUAAAGGGACGAGAAGACCCUAUUGAGCUUGUAAUUUUAUUACUAUUGUUAAUAUUAUUUGAGUGGUAUAUAAAUUUUAAUUGGGGUGAUUAAGGAAUAAAAUGAUUUUUAGUAACUUCCUUAUAUUUAAUAUUGUUAGAUAAAGUAACCAAUAUAUUAUUGCUUAUAUUAUAGUUACCAUAGGGAUAACAGCGUAAUUUGUUUAGAGAGUUCUUAUUGAAAAACAAGAUUGCGACCUCGAUGUUGGAUUAAAGUAACCUUAAGGUGCAGAAGCUU